rnacentral:rRNA from 1 species
CGAAGCAACGCGAAGUAACCUUUACCAGGUCUUGACAUCCCGAUGCUUAUUUCUAGAGAUAGAAAGUUACUUCGGUACAUCGGUGACAGGUGGUGCAUGGUUGUCGUCAGCUCGUGUCGUGAGAUGUUGGGUUAAGUCCCGCAACGAGCGCAACCCCUAUUGUUAGUUGCCAUCAUUCAGUUGGGCACUCUAGCGAGACUGCCGGUAAUAAACCGGAGGAAGUGGGAUGACGUCAAAUCAUCAUGCCCCUUAUGACCUGGGCUACACACGUGCUACAAUGGUUGGUACAACGAGUUGCGAGUCGGUGACGGCGAGCUAAUCUCUUAAAGCCAAUCUCAGUUCGGAUUGUAGGCUGCAACUCGCCUACAUGAAGUCGGAAUCGCUAGUAAUCGCGGAUCAGCACGCCGCGGUGAAUACGUUCCCGGGCCUU